AGCUCCAAUAGCGUAUAUUAAAGUUGUUGCAGUUAAAAAGCUCGUAGUUGGAUUUCGUCUACUCGAGAUGGAUGCAGUAGCUACUUGUUAGCUUACUAGCGCUUUCUCUUUUAGGCUUGGGUGGGGCUUGGGUUUACUCUUGUUCCACCCUGUUACUUUGGGGAAAUUAGAGUGUUUCAAGCAGGCUUUAGCUUGAAUACUCCAGCAUGGAAUAAUAAGAUAGGACUCAGGUUCUAUU
rnacentral:rRNA from 1 species